UGAUGAUUGUAAAAUAUCUAAUAAAACCCUAUACUUUUUAUUAUCUAGCAAUAAUAUUUUAUUAUGAAUAAAAUAACGAGGGAUUGAUUUAUAAUAUUUAUUUUAAAUUCUAAAUACCUUUAAUAAAUAUUCAGGACAUUUGACUUGUAGUAUAUUAAUGAAGAUGGCAACAACGGGUGGAUUAGUCAGUAUAAUGCUCGAGUGAAGAAGAGGCGACGGACAUCAGAGAAGCUUUCACGCGGGGAAAAGAACCAUCUCGUUGAGAUCGGGGUGGGGUUUUGUCAGGAACAGAGCUGUAAAGCUUAGGGGUUGUUUGGCAACCAACAGGACUUAUAAUUUGUUUCACUCGUUGUUUGUCAACUUAUGUGACAUGGAGGUGGACGGAGACAUUCCAACUACGUUACCCAACCAACAGGACUUUCAUUAGUUAUAUUGUGAUAGGGCAUUUUAUAAAAAGGAGCUCGGAUUAAGUUUUAAUUAGUUUAAGGAGCGACUCAAUGAAAACUUUUAAAAAGGAGCAAAUACGAAACUUAAUUAUCCGAUUUAGAUUUUAUAUUGAAAUCGGAAUUUCAUUGUUAUGUUUCUACUUUGAUUGGGAUUUCAAAAGAAACCGGACAUUAAAUUAUGGUUUCUUAAAAAAUCAGAAUUCCUUAAUCCGAUUUCUUUAAAAAAUAGGAUUUUAAAUCCUGUUUCUUAAAGAAACCGAAUAUAUAUUUUUUAUAAAUUGUUAUAUCUUUAUAUAAUAAAUUUAGAUAUAAUAAAUUUAGAAAAUGUUAUAAUUUUAUAUUAAAAACUUUUUAAAUUUUAUAUAAACUUAUAAACUAAUAAUUAAAUAAUAAUAACUAUCACUAUAUAACUAACGAAUGUCCUGCUGAUUUGGUGACAUAGGUGGAAUGUCGCCGUCCACCUCCAGGUCACAUGAGUUGACAAACAACGAGUGAAACAAAUUAUAAAUCAUGUUGCUUGCUAAACAGCCCCAAGCUUUACAGCUCGAUCAGUUCCCGUCAAAACCCCACCCCGAUCUCGGGCUCUCGGCGAGCCUGUCCUUUUCCCCGCGUGAAAGCUUCUCCAACGCCGUCGCCUCUUCUUCGUUCUAGCAGCACUCCGUCUACCCCCGUCAAAGCCAAGUCGCGACUUUUGGCGCGCGGGAAAAAUCAGGAAAAGCUCUUGCAUUUCCUGUAGCUCUCUCGUCCGACUUCGGUGCAAACAUCCUGCCGGAGCUAAUAUACGAAUACAUCUCCAAAAUUAUUUCAAGUUCUGUUUCUCUGGCCAAUGCAAACGUAGCAUUUGCUCAUUUGGUCGUCGUUCCAUAUUCAGGCAAUCCAAAAUCAUUUCAAGUUCUGUUUCUCAUUUGAAGUUCUGUUUCUCUGCCGUUCCAUAUUCAGAAAAUGGAAUUCAAUAAUUUGUUAUCUAUUAUCCUUAAAUAUGGAGGUUAUUGGGUUAAUGUGAAGGGCCAAAGCAGAUUAAAAUAUGAAGGUGGAGCUCAGAAAACUUUGAGGUUCGAGAAAGCUGAUAUUAAUUUGUUGCUACCAAAUUCAAAUAGGUAAAUGUAGUUAAUUAAAGCAUAUACAAACUACAGCAAACUUAAAAAAAUGUCUAUGAAAUUGUUUUUCCAUUUUAAACAAAGUUUCCAUUAAACAACAAACAUGAAAAGAGACAAUGAGAAAUUAUAUCUUGCCUCAAAACUGUACUAUAUAGGAUGAGGAUUCAUUUUGUUUUCUUAGUGGCAUUUUAUCAAACAACUUACAUACAUUAAUUAUAAAUGAUGAAAAUGCUAUAACUUUACGGCUGAUUAGGAAGAACUUUAGGAACAAGCAGCAAAACACAAAAAAUUAGGAAUGAUUAGGAAGAGAUCCGUUGCUAUGGAAAGAAGAAUCGAGAGGAGGAAAAGAGAGAGUUCACCUUGCUAUGGAAAGAGAUCCGUUGCUAUGUUUGAGAUCCGGAGGCUAGAGCACGUCGGCGGCGUCGACUAUGACUGGCGGCCGGAAGGAGAGAGAAGGAAAUGGAGUUUCUUGCGAAGAAAUAACAAUGCGGAAGGUUUGCGGGAGGAUUUUCACGAUCUGGGAGACGGAAUAGUGACGGAAUGGUAUUUUAGAGAGCAAAGUUGGUUUUCGGUGGUAUGAGUGUAAAUAUGCAAGUUUAAGUGUUAUAGGAGUAAAUAGCGAACUUUUAAGUGUUAGGUAUGUAAAAAUCUCUUUAAAAUUUUUAAUAUGUAUUGAAUCUACUUAAAGAAGAUAUAAUUAGAAUAUUUUUAAUUUAUCUGAUCUUCAUUAAGUCAUAAUUUGUCACAUAUAUUUAGUUUUAAUAUAAUUUAUGAUAAAAUGCCUGCUCUCAUUGCUUAUCGCACUAGCAAUCCCAAUUUGACCAUUCCUAACCUAAAUUCGCCAACAGAAGACUCUUCUACAAAUAUCAUGAACCCUUCGCGCCUCCCAUUACCAAGGACAAAACAUUAUAAAAGCCGAAGACGACUUUUCUGUCCUGGGGCUACAGAUAAAAAGAACUUAAUUCCCACGUGCGUGGGGCCCACGACUUUAAAGAAAUGUAUUUUUUUAAAUUUUUUUUUUUUGGGAAAUAGGGGCAAAUAUGUCCCAUUUCAUUCCAAAAAAUAAACAGAUGCAAAAGAAAAAAAAAUGAAAAACUCCUAAUAACUAGGAGGAAAGAAAAAAGAAAAUAAAUGGAGAAAAUUCUAUCAAGAACAACCAUCAAAUAGUCAAUAAAAGAUGUAAACUAAGCACAAAAUACCUAGCAAACAUCAACAAAAACUCCUAAACAGGAACUUCAGCUCCAACAGCAAAACAAUCAUACAUAAAUAGGCUUCAUAGACAAGAACCUGAAGAAUAAACUCCCCAAAAAACCCCUGAAAAGGGCUGAGAGUAAAACAAAUCCUAAUAACAACAUCAAGCCUUCCAACCAAACAAUAGUUCCAACUUCUUUUGAAAUAUUGUCAUCAUUCAUAUUAUAUUAUUAUUAUUAUAUAAUUUAAAUAAGGCAAAUUUAUAAAAAAGGAGCAAGUUUUAAAUUUAAAUUAGCUUAUGGAACAUGUCAGGAAAAAAAAAAGAUCAAAUAAUAACUUUAAUUAUUCGAUUUUAAUAGAAACUAGAACUUCGUUAUCCGGUUUCCAAUUUCUAUUGAAACCAAAACUUUAUUAUUUCAUUCAACCAUUUUAAUAAUAAAAAAAAAACUUCUAAACCUAGGAGUUGAGCUACACAAUUUCAGACAGGGAGGAGGAAAAGAGAUGAAUGGGGAGAGUUCACCUGCAAGAAGGAGAUCCGGCGUCUAGGGCAGGUCAGCGGUCUCGACUAGAGCUGAGAGCAGGCGGACGAUGAGGGUCUGACGGGAGUAGAAGACAGUGGUAUUUUAUUCAUUUGAACGACGAGCAAUAAUAACUUUAUUUUUAUUUUUUCAUUUAAUCAGUUUUGUAAAGUUGGAGUGGCUGUCCCUUACUCUGAACCUGCCGCGCCUCCACCACCAAGGACAAAAGCAUCCUCGUCAUUGGGCGGCAGGUAAAACCAAUAGUCAAUGUACGUGGGGCCCACGACUUUAACAUAAAUAUGGGGGCACAAAUCAUUGAUGUAAAAAAGAAUCCUAAAGUUUUUUUUCGUCCUAGCUUGAAAUCGGCAUUGACGAUUUUUUUUUUAAAUCGUUAGUUUCAUUUUACAGUCAAUUCAUUGUCAAUGCUAUUAAAUAUAUUAUUCUUACAGUUUUUAAAAUAGUUUUGUAGUCUAAAAAUUCAAAUUUUUGUACAAAAAUUAUUUUAAUAAGCAUCAAAAAAGACAUCCCAGACGAAGCUUUAAUUGCGAAAAACUAUUUUAAAAAUUGUAAGAAUAAUAUAUUUAAUAGCAUUGACAAUGACUUGACUGUACAAUGAAACUAACGAUUAAAAAAAAAAAGAACUUCAAUGCGGGUUUCAAGCUUAUACGAAAAAAAAGUUUAGGAUUCUUUUUUACAUCAAUGAUUUGUGCCCCAUAUUUAGGUUAAAGUCGUGGGCCUCACGUACAUUGACUAUUGGUUUUACCUGACGCCCGAUGACGAGGAUGCUUUUGUCCUUGGUGCCACUCCAACUCUACAAAAAUGAUUAAAUGAAAAAAAAAAAGUUAGCUCGUCGUUCAAAUGAAUAAAAUACCACUGUCUUAAACUCCCCUCAAAACCUCAUCGUCCGCCUGCUCUCAGCUCUAGUCGAGACCGCCGGUUGCCAGCUCUAGUCGAGACCGCCGACCUGCCCUAAACGCCGGAUCUCCUUCUUGCAGGUGAACUCUCCCCAUUUAUCUCUUUUACUCCUCCCUGUUCUUCUCUGCAGCCCAAUAUGCAUACGAAAUAAAAUGGCAAUAGUUAUCUCAUUCAGAAAUAAGAUUGAAAAAUGCACGAAAUUAGUCGAUCAUUAAAGUUAUUAGCAAACUUAAAUAAGUUAAAAUUCAUGUAUUCUUGUACUAUAAUAAUCACAAUUGUGAUCCAAACACAGUAAGUGGUCUGAUCCCGUGUUUCCACAUGCAACUCAUCAGUAACAUUUGCAAGAAAAUGCAUCCAGAAAAUAGAACUCCAGCAGACCACAUCAUCAAGAAAAAAAAAACGUAAAACAGCUCAAGCAAAUGUCAUCUACAUUGAUGAGGACAUCGGUUUAGUCUAAUUACUCUGGCGGACUACUUUUUUUUGGGGAAAUUUCUGGCGCACUAUUUACUCUGCCAGACACUACUUCUUAUUCCCUGACAUUUCUGUUAUGCUUAGCACAGCUUUUGCAUUUCAGUUGUUUCUUUUAAUUAAGUAUUUUCUUUUAGUAGCUUAGCCUUAAUUUUAUGAACCUGGAGAAAGGUAGAGACUGUUUUAGUUUUUUCAUCAUAUAUUGAAUAUUACAGAGGCUCUCAAGCCUGUUAUUGUUCUAUUGUUUUACUUCCCAGAUUUCUCCUUUCUAUACAUUGUAGCCGCUGCAUCAUACAUCAUCAAUAGUCUUCUCCUCUGGAUAUGACCUCUUUACAGCUUUCCAGCCUAAUAUUAUUUCUUGCUCUUUAACUGCGCCAAAAAAUGGCAUGGAAGAGGGUGCAAGGAACUGUAAGCAUGAAACCAACCCAAACCGACUUGACGUUCAUAACUGCCUUGCAUUAAUUAUUAACUAUUUUAUUACAGCAUUUACAUACCAGUUAGAGUAUUCAUUCAACUCCAAUCAUGUAAUGCUUGAUAUGCCUUGUCCACUAUGAAGAUGAGGAAGGGUAGGAUAAGGCAUAUUAAGGCUUUUACGGGAUUGUGGUAAUUUAUUUCAUGCCAUGUGUGUGGAUCCAUGGUUGGGGUAACCUCCUCAACUUGGCCUAAACUCACCUACGCCAAGUCAACAUUAGGAUUUGUGGGCGGCCACCGCCGGCUGCUGCUCGAGAUGCCUUCUCUAUGUUUCUCACCUCUGCCUUUAUUCAAGAUCUUCUCUCAUCCUAUUCUUUUCUACACAAAGUCGUCCCUCAAGUGGGUGAUUUAUGCUGACUCAGACUUGCUUAGUCAUAUGUCAGUUUCGAACUAAUAGGUGACUUAUUUAAAAAAAAUAUUACUAUAAUAAGUUGUCUGUUAAACGGAUGAUUUGCUAUAUUAAAUUUUGAAAAAAAUAAAUAAAUAAAUGAAGUAGGCCUGCUGUAGUGGUAGAAAGAAAGGUUAAACAUGUGGUUUCAUUACUUUUGGGUAGGUUUUUCGUCAAUAUUCUAGCCGGCUUAGCAUAUCCCUCACUGAAUUUGAUCCGAAAGUGCUUUUAUGAUCGUAAUUUUUUUCCUUAGAUGUUCCGACAGGUUCGGUCUUGAUGCUAUCAUCUAUCGUGUUGGCGUGUUUUAUGGAGACCCGGAGUAGAUGGCAUUCACGAAUUGCUUGCGGGGUGCAAAUAAUUUGGAUCUGAAAGCUCCUUUCAGCUUUCCAGCCUAGUAUUAUUUCUUGAUCUUUAACUGCUCCAAAAAUGGCAUGGAAGACGGUGCAAGGAACUGCAAGCAUGAAACCAACCUAAACGCUUGAUGUUGAUGUAUAAUCUACUUUGAAGACCUAGUUGUUUUUUUUUUAAACUAGUUUUAUUACCCAUAAAAAAAAUUUAUUUCUUGGCUUUUAA